GUGAUUACGUCAUUUCCCCUACCAGCAUGCAACAGGUGUUUUGACAGGCUGUGAUUACAAACGUUGGGAUGGUGAAGAGUUAAGAAAGUUUUAUUAAGAAAGAAUAGUUUUAAUGCAUUAAAUAAACCUUUGCAGACAGGUGUCGCUCUAAAUUAACUCUAAAUAUUUACAAGAAUCCUCGCGGAGAAACUGUAACGGGAUGCAGCCUCUGUUUUGCAGUGUUUUGCUACGGAAGAUAAAAGCUGAGGACACAGAACCAAGAAAAAAGCAACAAAAAAGAAAGAAAAAACCAAAACAAGCGCCGUUUCUCCAGAAGGGACAGCAAUUUUUCUAUUGAAGACCCUGGCAUUUUUGGAAAUAAAGAUUCCACUGAGGAUUGUAACCCCUGGACCUUCCCCUAUGAUCUGCAGGUUUUGAUGACAUGACAGGGGUUUCCUUGACCUUUGCCCUGUUGAUAAAACAUUUAAAAAUAAUCAUCUAGUAUAUAUAUCCCUCUCCUCGUCGUAUUUUGAGUCAAGUAAUAAAAAUUCAUUAUUCUUUUGCCCCAGGUGAGUGCUGAAUAAGUGCAAAAAAUUAUUCUUAUGUUCUCCAGGCUACAUCAAUGAAACAGAAUUUAAUUUUGAUUUUUUUUUUUUUUUUUUUUCCCUAGAGACCUUUGUGGUUCUGUCUUGUACUAAAAUAUGAGGCAGCCGGCGCUUCUCAAUUAUUUGAUCUGAAGUGUUUUAUUUUUCUGCCAUGUUGGGAUCUCUGCAGUCACAUAUAAUAAUAAUAUCACUUUCAUAACUGUUGUUUGUUUGUUUGCUCCUCUCUGGAUCAACUGCAUCAGCCACAGAACUCUGUCGUGUCUCACUUUAAGGUAAAAAUAAGCGAGAAAAUCUGGUCUCGCCACAGUGUUAUACAUUGACUGUUGGCUACAACGGCUUUGACAGAAUGUCGUACCGAGUUCAACCACUCAUUUCAAUGGUCAGUUGAUCCUCAGCCUCUGUCAGCUGUUAAUUGAAACCCCUGAAAACCUAAUUAGGGCUCAGAGCCUGAAUGGACUCGACGACAAAAGAUGCCGAAGCAAAAUGGGCCUCAGCUUCAUUACAGUCAGUUUGAUUAACGGACUAAUUUAUUAUUUUAUUUAUUUUACAAAUGUGUUCAAUACUUUCUUUCAAAAUAUGUACGGAUUUUGCACAAAAGUUCUAAAAUUGUAAAGAUUUCCAAUACUUUUGAAGUACUUGUUUGCGUGAUGCACGUUGGGAGAAGUUGUUUGGACAAGUCAAAUUGACAGUGAAUAUUGUAAUAUGUUGUAGUUUUAUAUACAUUACCAUGUUAAAGAUUUGUUAUAUUAUUAUGUGUGUUUAUUUAGUUGAACGUAGCAGUUGUUGGUGAGACAGUAUUCUGACUGUUUACACCAAAUUAAACAUUUUGUUUGUUUACUGCUUGAAAAAUUGUCGAAUUUAUCCCGCUCCUCAUUGCGUAUUCAGCAAAGUGACACAGUGAACUGCAGUAAAGUGUUUCCUUGUCAUAUUAAUGCCAGAACAUAGAAAGAGUGAUGAAUGGGUUUGAGUCCUGCAGCACAGAUUAGCAGUAGUACUGUAGGUUCUGGACUGCAGUAUUCUAAACAUGAGAGCAGAGUUUCCCCAACAUUGAUUAAACAUCCAGAGCUGUUUGCUCUCUAAAUGAGAUUUCCUAUAAUAAAAUGAUUAGUCAAAGCUGUUGCAUAUUCCUCCCCUUCACACAGUGUUUUAGGGCUUUUUUUUCAGGUCAUUAUUCUGCUCUGGAGUUUGUUAUAUUAUUAUUUGCUGGGUCUGUUGAUCGUUUAGCUCACAUUUCCACAUUACUUUUCCGUUUCCUUCUAUUAUUCAUCACAUUUUGAGCUGUUAUUAGAUCGAUUAACAGCUCUCUGCCGCCCUCACACGCCACAUUUUCUCUGAAUAUUGCAUAAUAAACUCGGGGUUUGAUGUCAUUUUAUAGAUCCUCCAGACCUCUGGUGAAUUCACAUCCACAGCACUGUGCAGUUUUCUUCCCCUCCUCUCAGUGGCUCCGGUAACUUCAGCCUGCCUCACAGCAGUGGAACAUUCUCACCUCGCUCCUUUGUCACAUAAUUGGUUCACAUACAAUGCACUGGUAUUUUUCUCUGUAUACACUGCAGGUGCCAUUAGAGGCAGGUCAUGUGCGCAGGAUAUAGGCAUUAGGUAGAAACAGGAGACAGAGAUGAAGAGGUUGGAUAUUAAAGGGAGCCGUGGUGCAGAAAUGCAGCAGGAGGUGACAGGGUUUGAAGAAUGGAUGAAGAUUUAGAGCCGAGCCGAGGGAAGAGAGUUCUUGUGGAAGAUCAGCUUCAGAUCCUGGUGUUUUUUUUUUCACGGCCUGCUUGAUCUAAGACGUGCUAAUUUCAUUAGGUGGUAAUUUUCCACGGUGUUUGGUGUGGACGCCUUACAGCCAGAAGGUCAACUGUUCUUAUACCAGUUUCUACCGAAAACAUUCACAAUUCUUACUUACAGAUUUCUAUCCCCCCCCCUUGCCUGCAGGGGUGCUCCUCCUCAAACUCAAUGAGAAGAUAUUCUAAAAGUGCCAAAAGGUGAAUAAUGUACCUACGGAGACUAGUAAUGACCUUAUUACUGUUUUUCAACCACAAAAAUCCCUACGAUUGUAUGUUGUUGAGCAAGAGUUAUUUUUAUUGAACAAAUCAUUAAAGGACUGUACAGAAACUGACCUUUAACCUUACUAGAUAAGACUAAUUAAUUUUCACGUGUUCAACUUCACAACUAACCUCCUUAUCUUCCAUCCUGUUUGAUGUUGUUGUUUCCCAAGACUUAGCCAGAAUAUGGUUUGUCAGAACGUACUUUGUUGCCACCACUGGCUGCUCUUCAUGUUCACGUUCUGCUUGAAUGACUGUUGAAGUUGAAGCACUGCUGUGUUUUCAUCCAAACCCACUUGAUGUUUUUCCUGAUGUCUUCAAAGAGUGAAUGAAAUGGGCGUCUUAAAGUCACGCAUGUGUUUUGUUUCCCGACAAAAACCUGGGAGUUGAACCUCUGACGUCUGCGGCUCCAGAGUGAAAGAAGUAGCGAGCCUUAGAGUGAUUUAAAGAUGAAGGCUGUCAGCUCCGCCGCUUCCAUUCAAGGGGCCACGAGAGAAUAAAAUUGCAUCAGAGCCUUUUGUGACAAUAGAACAAUGGCUGUGAGACUGAAUAGACUGGAGACGAAGUGACAGCUGGAAAUGGGAGAGGAAUAAGAUUGAACUGAACUCUUCCUGGACAACAUUCAUGGCAUUUACUAUGUAAGAUGAAUCACAGAUGGAGACUGAGGUUUGGAUGAAGCAGCAACACAUUCACCGCGUUGGAUUCUGGUUCCUACAUACGACAUAUUAGACGGACUGUUAUUUUCAUUUUAGUCAUUUGAACUGUGGUAAUUAAUUAGUUAAGAUUUGAGAUUUUUCAAACUAUCAAAGCUUUUCAACAGGUUUUGAUCCAAGCUCAGUAUGAUUUUUUAUACCUGAACUGAACCAUUCACUCAACCGUAGCACUAGCCAAACUGACGUCUUUACUCACAUACUGCACAUAUAAUAAUAAUACACACAUAUACUCACAGUGUAUACACUGUACUCUAUGCCUCAGGCAGAAUUCAAUACUUUCCAACCAUCAUCCCUCCAGGCGUCAGAGCAGCUGCUGCUGAUGAUCAGUUCACGUAUCGACAGUCUAUUCAUGAGUAUUGAGUCAUGUGUUGAAUAAGAGCCACAAUGGCGGCGUUGGCCCGCUCUCCAAAGGAUAUACACGCCCCAUUGCUCUUUUCUGAGUGUGUAUGAGAGUGCAUUUCUAAAGUAUACCUUGUUUAUUAGUCUCAUUUGUGCAUGUGUGUGUGCGUGUGUGUGUGUGUGUGUGUGGGCUGCUGUGAUUCAUGCUGCUCUUGGAAUCAUUUGUUAAAACCUCGCCAACAGUUUUUGUUUUGGACCGAGAGCCGAGGCCGCCAACUUCAGAUGAUGACAGUCGAUAAAGGGCGUGUUUGAAGUGUUUGUGAGCCGCGGUGUUUUAUAGGUGUUCAACGCAGUGCUGUGCAAAGUAUUUGUCUAAAGGUGAAGGGUUCGAUGCUCUUGUGUUUCCUGGAAUUAUGAGCCCCAUGUUUCACAGAGGGGUCUUUUGUGGCAGAGUGGGUUUUUUGGGGGUGGAGAGAGUUCUGAAUUCUCUGAGCACAAAGAGCACAUUUGAAAAGAUAAGGUAUUUGUCAGGUACUACAAUGUGACCUUUCCUGUUAGUUUGGAAAGACAUACAAAUAUAAUUGGACGUAUGAUUGAGUGAUGAUCUGUAUUAUUGGGUUGAUUUAAGUUGGUACAGGAAUAUAGCAGAAUGACAGGGUGAGUCAUGUGACCAGUGGCAUUAAUCAUACUCUAUAUAUAACAUUUUUCUUCUGGUUACGUCUGUGGACAUGUUUAUAUAAUCAGAGCUUUUUUUUUUAUUGUUGAAGUUACAGUUUAAAUUCUUCCUUAUUCUUCCUUUUUAAUCCAAUCCAUUAGUCUAAAAAAUACUGUUGCUUAGUUUUUCAAUGACCACAUCACGCCAUAACAAUAGCACUGCACCACAGUUUUAGCCUCCCUCUGCAGCCCCUCUGAGCAACCAUGACUUGCAAAGUGAAGUAAUAACGUCAGGCUACAAAAAACAAAGGUUUUUUUGUAGCCUGAAAGAAGAAAGUGAAACCUCCAACUUCUUAUCCAACCAAAGUUUUAUUGUCAUUACAUAGAUUUUUAUGUAUUUUUUCCUCAUUUUAUUCAUUCUGUCUCAUUAAUUCUUUUACUCCUCAACCAAAUGGUGCAGCGGCCUUGUUUUGUGGGGAAACCCCAGCAGCUCUUCUCCUCUUUACAUAUGAAUCUGUCACGGCCGCCGUUUAUCACGGCUGCUUUGAAGAAAGAUUUGCAUCUGAUAAAUCCAAUAAGUGUUGUCCUGUUUGGGCUCCUGCCUCUCUAAAUUGCAGUCACACUGCCAAGCAUGGUUGGCUUUUCAUGAGGCGACGCGUUUGUUGACAAACAUGUGAUGAGGUGAAUGUUUGAAUAACUAAUUCAAAAAGCAAUUUAGCAAUGAAUGAGAUGUAAAAAAAAACAAAACAGGGUUAGGAAGGCACAAUCUUGUUAGCAUUUUGUAAUAUGCACACGAGAGCUGGGGUAAAAAAGCAAUUGCAUGUUCUCAUUAGCAGCGACAGUUGGGGGGAAACACAAUAAGUAAGUGAGUGAGAUGGAAAGGUUUACACAUCACAGCACUAGAGUGUCCUCUGUGUCUUUCAGUGGCUUUAAUCCUAAAAAUUGUAGCAAACAAUUAUUUGCACAGGCAAAGCUUUUAAAAGCAAUUUAAACGGCUCUCUGUUAUAAAACCUCAGCCUCGUGGUACAAAUACAUGAAAUAUUCAUAGCCAUGUUUUAUGUUUGUACACUCUGUGACAAUGAUGCACUGCUUUAAGCUGAAACAAGAUUUUUAAUCUUCUUGAAACAUUUUGUUGUUGUUUUUUAAAGCCAUUAAUCACCACAAGUCUUUACCUGAAUAAUUUACGCCACUCGAAGCACUUCAUUAUAUUCACUAAGGAAAUUUAUGUCAUGUGAUAUAAUCAUUAUUCUGUAAGGCGUGGACUGAAGAGGUUUGUCAAGUGACCUUGGAUUAGACCGGCGCCCCCUACAGUGACCGGGAUUCGACGUCACUCUCGAGGAAUUUUACCAAAUCAGUCCCAGACUCCAGGGUUUUGACCCAAAAGGUUCUGGAAGAUGUCAUUUUAUUUUAAUUUCCACCUGUAAACCCAGCACAGACCCGUCUCCUUCACCUCUGUGUCUGGUUGCCUCCGGAUUUAAAGCCACGCAGAUCGGUGAUUUUUUUUUUGUUUUUUUGUUUCUUGGAUCGACUGUCCUGUCUUUCCUCAAUUAGCCACAGCAAUCUGUCAGCGUU